rnacentral:lncRNA from 1 species
AAAACCUUUACUUUGAUAGUACUGUCACAUGAUGAGUAAUUUUGAGGUUAUUUGCAUGACACUUAAUCGAUCUAAGUAGUCAAGACUAAGUGAUUCUUUUGUGUGUAGGAAGAGUUAGUUUAAAGCAAGAGAAAAUAGUGAGCUUGAAAGAAUAAGAGAGUUUUAUUAAGAGAUUUGUAGGUUUUACAAGAUCGCUUGUGUUACUUUAUAUGUACAAAUGAAGAUGGGUAGACUAUUUAUUAUGGUUGGCCCCCUCAAUGGACGAUUAGGAUCAAUUUUAUCCAAUUGUAUAUAUUACAUCUCUAGAUAACUCUAGAAAUAUUUACAACAAGAGAUACAAAAAGAACUUUAUUAAGAGAUUUGUAGGUUUUAUAAGAUCGUUUGUGUUGCUUUAUAUGUGUAAAUGAGGCUAUUUAUAAUGGUUGGCUCCCUCAUAGGAUCAAUUUGAUCCAACAGUAUAUAUUACAUCUAUAGAUAACUCAAGAAAUAUUUACAAUAAGAAACAUUACUAGAAGUUUUUAGGCAUCAUGCUUUUAGCGUCUUCCAAAAUCUUCCAAACUGCUAGCGUGUAGGUAGGCACUUGUUGGAGCUCUCUAGUGCUUGGUGGAGCUUGCUAGAGGUUUCCUGCAACUUUUAGAGUUUUUCUGUGCAUUCCAAGUCCUCCCUCCGACUUCUGGACUUUUCCCACAACUAGGCAGCAUACACGCGCUCGCUUGACGACUAUUUUGUGUGCCCACGCAUUUGCUGAUCCAUUAAUCACUCGACUGGGCAAUAGCUUACGCAGGCAUAAAACCCUCCCCCACUCGAUCCCACGACAUCCUUGACGCAUUUUUUUACUUGUACUGUAAGAUGGCAUCAGCAAAUUGCCAAAGCAAAUCUUCUUGUUCCCAUGUGACUUUAUUUUUUGGAUGAUCUUUUCACUUCACCAAAUAUUCAGUGUAGCUUAAUAUACCACAUUUAUGAAUCGCUCCAUUCGAAAGGAUGUAUUCUACUUGUCAAAUUCGGUGACAACUGCAGUAAAAGCAUACUUGGACUCAUCUAUGCUUAGAUCUUUCUAAUUUUUGUACUAAGGUUUUAGAACACUUACAUGGAAGAAAUGGUUGAUUUUAAGUUUUGGUGGGAAUUGGACUCUAUACGCUACUUUAUUAACUCGCUUAACCACGGGUAUCUCUGCACCAACCCUUUAUACACUCUAUAUAAAGACUUGAAUUGGUUGAGCAGGAGCUUGAACAUCACCACGUCUCCCUCAGCAUACUCUAAUGGUUGCUUAUUUGUGUCAGCCCAUUUCUUCAUCCGUCAAGUGGCCUUAUUAAGGCAAUCUUUUAUAAUGUUUGCCUCUUCGUGCCACUCUUGUGCAAUUUUUUGGGCCACUUGGCUACUACCUUCGUAGGUUGAGGCUAUGACGUUAGGUGUCAAGAGAUGUUGGUCCCUGACGAUCUCAAAUGAGCUUUUUUUGGUGGACUCGUUCCGUUGAAGAUUAUAUGAGAAUUACACCACAUCAAGUAAAUUCAUUGAAUCUUGUUGAUGGGUGCUGAUAUAGUGUCUCAAGUGGAGCUCUAAUAAACAUGUUCACGCACUCGGUUUGACCAUAUUGUUAUGGAUAAAAGUUGAUUUAGAAAUUCAAUUCUGUCCCCAAUAACUUGAACAAUUUUAGUUGUAAUUUUUUUGUGGAGUUUGGGUCUCUAUUGUUAAUGAUGUUCUGUGGGACAAUCCAACUUCACAAUAUUAUUGAGGGAUAAAUGUGUGGCUUUAUCCACCUUACAAUCGACUAAGGGUAGGAUAAAGGUAGCAUACUUACUAAAUUGAUCAAUAAUGACCAUGAUGUUUCUUUUCCGUCAGACUUUCAUAAGGUGAUGUGACCUCAGGAAGGGCCAAGCUAAUGCAAAAAAAAAGAUACUCGAGAGAAGCGAGAAUCCUACAGUAAGCUAGAUUCCCACUGGAUAAUUACCUGCAAGGUAGGGGCAAUUAGCCGCGCACAUGAGACUACCCAAGAAAUGCCCACGGGAGGAUGAUGUUUUCAAGGACUUUUACAAGUCCAAGACCGAAAAAAAACUAAAGUUCAACCUCCUAAGUUUCCCAAAUUAUCCCAAGAAGGAAGACACAAAACUCAAAAGGAAUCAGGCUUAGAAGGUUGAUUCAAGAGUUUUUAAAAUGCCUAACCCAUGAGCCCCAAAGAGAUCGAAGAAAGCUUUAUGUCAUGACGUCAUUACUCAAUUGUACAGUUGAGAUUAAACAAGUAAGCCUUUUGAGUAUAGGAAGUAUUAGCUAAUAGCAAGACAAAAUAGUGAGCUUGAGGAAUAUGAAAGCUUUUAUUGAGAGCUUUCUACGCUUUUACAAGUAUGUCUGUGUUGUUGUGUAUGUACAAAUG